rnacentral:tRNA from 1 species
GGUUGUUUGGCCGAGUGGUCUAAGGGCGCCGGAUUCAAGUCCCGGUCUCGAAAGAGGCACGAGUUCGAACCUCGUAGCAAUCA